GGUGGGAUAGUUUAAUUGGUAGAACAAUGGAUUCAUGCUCCAUGAGUAGGGGUUCAAGUCCCUUUUCCAUCG
rnacentral:tRNA from 1 species